UGCGCAGGCGGUUAUGUAAGACAGAGGUGAAAGACGGUCGCUCAACGAUUGCAGUGCCAUUGAUACUGGUAGACUUGAGUGUGAUUGAGGUAGCUGGAAUGGAUAGUGUAGCGGUGAAAUGCAUAGAUAUUAUCCAGAACACCGAUUGCGAAGGCAGGUUACUAAGUCAUAACUGACGCUGAGGCACGAAAGUGUGGGGAUCAAACAGGAUUAGAUACCCUAGUA
rnacentral:rRNA from 1 species